AAGGCAUAGUGAGGGCACUUUCUUAGUAUCUCCUUGAAUCUCUCCCAACUAUCACAAAUAAAUUCUCCCUCUAACUUAGUAAAAAAAAGUAAUAUCAUUUCUAAUUUC